rnacentral:lncRNA from 1 species
GUGCCAGCUCUCCGUGUGUGCGGCACCAUUUCUGGGCAGGCUGCACUGUCUUUCACGCUGGGUGGCUCUCCUUACGGGGUGCACUCCUUGCGUGUGGGGCUCCCCUACGCGGGGACACCCCUGCGUGGCAGGGCACUCCUUGUGCACAUCAGCACUGCACAUGGGCCAGCUCCACAUGGGUCAAGGAGGCCUGGGGUUUGAACCGUGGACCUCCCAUGUGGUAGGCGGACGCCCUAACCACUGGGCCAGGUCCGCCGCCCCAGUAUACUUUAUUGAUGGUACAUGACAAGGUGGGGUCCCCUUCUCCAGGGGGUCCGGGAUGGAAGCUGUGGAGGAUGGAGGUGCUCAGUGUUGGGGGAUCAAGUUGGGGUCAGGACUCCCUAGCAGCUGCCCCUCUUCCUCUGGGGCUGGUGGUCCAGGGACUCUUACUCCUUGGAGGCCACGUGCAUCAUGAGGCCCACCACCCUGUUGCUGUAGCCAAAUUCAUUGUCGUACCAGGUGAUGAGCUUGACAGAGUGGCCGUUGAGAGCAAUGCCAGCCCCAGUAUCAAAGGUGGAAGAGCAGGUGUCACUGUUAAAGUUGCAGGAGACAACCUGUCCUCAGUGUAGCCCUUCAGGGGACCAUCUGACGCCUGCUUCACUACCUUCUUGAUGUCAUCGUAUUUGGCAGCCUUCUCCAGACGGCAAGUCAGAUCCACAACAGACAUGUUGGGGGUGGGGACGCAGAAGGCCAUGCCAGCGAGCUUCCCAUUCAGCUCUGGAAUGACCUUGCCCACCACCUUGGCAAUGCCGGUAGACACAGGGACGAUGUUCUGGGCAGCCCCACGGCCGUCACGCCACAGCUUCCUGGAGGGGCCAUCCACAGUCUUCUGGGUGGCAGUGAUGGCGUGGACAGUGGUCAUGAGUCCCUCCACGAUGCCGAAGUUAUCAUGGAUGACCUUGGCCAGGGAGGCCAGGUAGUUGGUGGUGCAGGAAGCAUUGCUGACGAUCUUCAGGGAGUUGUCCUACUUCUCAUGGUUCACGCCCAUCACAAACAUGGGGGCAUCGGCCGAAGGGGCAGAGAUGAUGACUCUCUUGGCGCCACCUUUCAAGUGAGCCCCGACCUUCUCCGAGGUCAUGAAGACACCAGUGGACUCCACAACAUGUUCAGCAGCAGCAUCACCCCAGUUGAUGUUGGUGGGAUCUCGCUCUUGGAAGAUAGUGAUGGGAUGCCCAUUGAUGACAAGCUUCCCAUUCUCAGCCUUGACAGUGCCCUUGAACUUGCCAUGGGUGGAAUCAUCCUGGAACAUGUAGACCAUGUAGUUGAGGUCAAUGAAGGGGUCAUUGAUGGCAACAACCUGCACUUUGCCAGAGCACACAGCAGCCCUGGUGACCAGGCGCCCAGUAUGGCCAAAUCCGUUUACUCCAAUCUUCACCAUCUUGUCUCAGGGAUGCGGCUGGCCCUGUGCGAAGAGCUGAGGCUGUCUGUCGAAUGGGAAGGAAGAGAGAGCCCACCGGUCCGGGUGAGGUGGAAUCAACUGACCAAGAUGAC